rnacentral:rRNA from 1 species
CCUACGGGAGGCAGCAGUGAGGAAUAUUGGUCAAUGGACGAGAGUCUGAACCAGCAAAGUAGCGUGAAGGAUGAAUGCCCUAUGGGUUGUAAACUUCUUUUAUAUGGGAAUAAAAUGUUCCACGUGUGGGAUUUUGUAUGUACCAUAUGAAUAAGGAUCGGCUAACUCCGUGCCAGCAGCCGCGGUAAUACGGAGGAUCCGAGCGUUAUCCGGAUUUAUUGGGGUUAAAGGGAGCGUAGGUGGAUUGUUAAGUCAGUUGUGAAAGUUUGCGGCUCAACCGUAAAAUUGCAGUUGAAACUGGCAGUCUUGAGUACAGUAGAGGUGGGCGGAAUUCGUGGUGUAGCGGUGAAAUGCUUAGAUAUCACGAAGAACUCCGAUUGCGAAGGCAGUUCACUGGACUGCAACUGACACUGAUGCUCGAAAGUGUGGGUAUCAAACAGGAUUAGAUACCCGGGUAGUC